rnacentral:rRNA from 1 species
AGAGUUUGAUCCUGGCUCAGAUUGAACGCUGGCGGCAUGCUUUACACAUGCAAGUCGAACGGCAGCACGGGUGCUUGCACCUGGUGGCGAGUGGCGAACGGGUGAGUAAUGCACCGGAACGUACCCAGUAAUGGGGGAUAACACAUCGAAAGAUGUGCUAAUACCGCAUACGCCCUGAGGGGGAAAGCGGGGGAUCGUAAGACCUCGCGUUGUUGGAGCGGCCGAUGCCGGAUUAGCUAGUUGGUGAGGUAAGAGCUCACCAAGGCGACGAUCCGUAGCUGGUCUGAGAGGACGACCAGCCACACUGGGACUGAGACACGGCCCAGACUCCUACGGGAGGCAGCAGUGGGGAAUUUUGGACAAUGGGCGCAAGCCUGAUCCAGCCAUGCCGCGUGAGUGAAAAAGGCCUUCGGGUUGUAAAGCUCUUUCGCAAGGAAAGAAAACUUAUCUACUAA